rnacentral:ncRNA from 1 species
AGCACUUUUUAAAACAGGUGCUGACAGAUGUAAGUCCGACGUGCCCGAUUAAAGGCACGGCCUCAAAACUAUACAGGCUUUGGGAUUAC